CCAAGGAGUCUAACACGUACGCGAGUCGCUCGGUCUUGAAUAGGCCAGAGAGGCGCAAUGAAAGUAAAGUUGAUUGAGUUAUGAUCUCUGUCGCGGCUAGCCUCCUCUUCGGUGGCGAGCGGGCAGAGCGCAAUAACAGCCCGCUAGUUUCGCUUACUGACGAUUUAGCGGAGUUGUAGCGUAUGCGUUGGUACCCGAAAGAUGGUGAACUAUGCCUGGGCAAGACGAAGCCAGAGGAAACUCUGGUGGAGGUCUGUAGCGAUUCUGACGUGCAAAUCGAUCGUCAGACCUGGGUAUAGGGGCGAAAGACUAAUCGAACCAUC
rnacentral:rRNA from 1 species